GUUGUUCCCUGCCCUCACGGGUAGAAACGCCACCCUUGUAUAAUAUAUAUUGUUGCUUUGGCAGGCCGCCUUCGGGCACUGGCUCCGGCUAGAUCGUGUCUGCCAGAGGACCCCAAACUCUGGAUCGUUAAUGUCGUCUGAGUACUAUAUAAUAGUUAAAACUUUCAACAACGGAUCUCUUGGUUCU
rnacentral:misc_RNA from 1 species